UUAAGGUGUCGGUAUAAUGGUUAUUGAAACUGAUCUGUAGAAGUGAGGGAUCUAGGGUGUCGGGACGGUAUCAAUCUUGUUAGAUCUUUCUCAAUUUUCCUAACAAAACCUCCGUAAGACAACCUAUAUACUUGUAGGGUAUGCAUUUAAUCUUAAGGAUUUUUUUUUUGUUAUGCCAAAAUAUCUAUAAAUGAUUAAUAAGGACAAACAAUUUUU
rnacentral:lncRNA from 1 species